rnacentral:lncRNA from 1 species
CUGAAUUAAAUGACGAAAACAUUAAUUGGUAAAUCAAGAGACAUACGUUGAACAAUAUGAAAGAUUAAUGUUUGGUGUUUGCAGAGAAGCCGAACGGAGACGACAAAGGUAAAGAGACGAAGAACAAUUAAAAAACCCUAAUCGACAAAACGCUGUGUUUAAUAACAUAAUAAAACAUUAAUUGAACGGGAAAACUCAAAUCAUACCAUAUAAGUUAAAAACCAAACGCGAGAACGGAAUUACUAAACAAACCGAGAAUCAUGGACCCCAUAGUCUUUAUAAAAUGCAUAUGUGUACACUUUAAGGAGAGAGUAAACUCUCCUAUCAUAAAUAUAUAUUAGUUUCGGCAAUCAAUGUACAAAGUAUCAUUUAGUUUUGUGGUAUUAACGUUGGUGUUUAUAUCUCAAUAACCGGGUUCAUAUUGUGUUAUUUGGGCUUCGUAUUUCCCUCAAGGAGCUCACUCAGCCCAUUUUUGUGAAACA